AGAGUUUGAUCCUGGCUCAGGAUGAACGCUAGCGGCAGGCUUAAUACAUGCAAGUCGAGGGGCAGCAUGGUUGUAGCAAUACAACUGAUGGCGACCGGCAAACGGGUGCGGAACACGUACGCAAUCUACCCAAAACUGAUGAAUAGCCCUCCGAAAGGAGGAUUAAUACAUCGUAACUUAAUGAAGUGGCAUCACUUUAUUAAUAUAGCUCCGGCGGUUUUGGAUGAGCGUGCGCCUGAUUAGGUAGUUGGCGGGGUAACGGCCCACCAAGCCUGCGAUCAGUAACUGGUGUGAGAGCACGACCAGUCACACGGGCACUGAGACACGGGCCCGACUCCUACGGGAGGCAGCAGUAAGGAAUAUUGGUCAAUGGACGCAAGUCUGAACCAGCCAUGCCGCGUGAAGGAUGAAGGUCCUCUGGAUUGUAAACUUCUUUUAUGUGGGACGAAACCUCUUAUUCUUAAGAGACUGACGGUACCAUAGGAAUAAGCACCGGCUAACUCCGUGCCAGCAGCCGCGGUAAUACGGAGGGUGCAAGCGUUAUCCGGAUUCACUGGGUUUAAAGGGAGCGUAGGAGGGCAGGUAAGUCAGUGGUGAAAUCUUCGAGCUUAACUCGGAAACUGCCGUUGAUACUAUCUGUCUUGAAUACCGUGGAGAUGAGCGGAAUAUGUCAUGUAGCGGUGAAAUGCUUAGAUAUGACAUAGAACACCA
rnacentral:rRNA from 1 species